rnacentral:RNase_P_RNA from 1 species
GAGUUAGCUGUACGGUUGCGGGGAAACUUUUAAGUUUCCGUGAGGAAAGUCCGAGCUUCAUAAAGCAGGGUGCCGGAUAACGUCCGGUAACGGUAACGUUCAGGAAAGUGCAACAGAAAAUAACCGCUCGAAAGAGUAAGGGUGAAAAGGCGAGGUAAAAGCUCACCGGCAUUACGGUAACGUAUAUGCGUCAGUGUAAACCCCACCUGAAGCAAGAUAGGAACGGUCGAUACGGGGUCGCUUGCCCCGACUUGUUCGCAAAACGUCGCUUGAAUUCGUCGGUAACGGCGAAUCUAGAUAGAUAACCGUAUUAAAUGACAGAACUCGGCUUAUAGGCUAUCUC